UUUUGACUGCACUAAUAGUUCGUAAACACCACACAGGAAGUAGGAAAAGAACUACAUUUCCCAUCUGCCCUGGCUGUCACAGGCUAAUAGCACCAGCUGCUUUCCAUUGCCCUAAUGAAUGAUUCUACUGCUGCAACGAGACCAAAUACAACGAAAGUAUUGAUGCUGCAAAAGAAGACGGAUCUUUUGGUAGGCUGGUUAAUGAUGACCACAAGCACCCAAAUGGCAGAAUGCAGAAGACUGAAGUGGAUGGAAGCCCACAUCUUGGUCUGUUUGCUUUAACAGACUUUAAAGAAGGUGAUGAAUUACCUGCAAUUACGGAGGAGGAGACUGGCCUUGGUGUAGCAAGGUAAAACAUCUACUCUGAAAAAGAGGAAGGCUCGGGAAGGAAAUGAGGUCCAUGCAGUGGAGAGACAUAUGAAGACCUUCAUCAUGUCAUGUCGUGUCCCAGGGAAGUUGGUCUGUGAAAACUGCAUUAGAUCUGAGUCUUUAUAUCUUAAAGAUAGAGACUGGCAAAGUGUCAAAUUCUAUGUCUAUAACUGCACUGUAGCUUACAAGAGAGAUAUAAACAAAGAUUAAUUACCACUUUGAUAGUAACACUGUACAUCUAUAUUACAGAUACUGUACAUCAUAACAUCUGUAGUAAUGCUUUAAUAAUAAGUUACAUUACACCUCUAGCCUUUUACUUUGUAAUGAACCGCUCAGCAUUUACUUCAUCAUAAACUAAUCAGGAACAAAUCAGGCAUUUAAAAUAUCCAUUAGAAUCUUUACCUACACAGUUAUAUUGAAUUAGAUCAAAUUGGUUUGGGCCGCCUUCUUCCAGUGGGUCCUUAUGCAGGUGACUGACAAGUUCAUGAGUAAGCCUAUUGGGCAAUAAAAGCUUCAGUGUGCUACCCAUUUACAUGUUUAGACUGCCUGGAAUCAAAAUUAGCUACCUCAACAUAUAUUAUUAAGUUGUUACUGUCACUUUUUAACUUUUUAGCUUAGUCAGUUAAGUGGAUAUAGAAUAAAGAAAAAAAUUGUGUUUAUGACAUUUGGUUGUGUGUCUGUGUUUGGCUAGUAUCUUUAUUUUUCUCAAUAUGUUUAACUUUGAGCUGGCUAUAUGUAGUAAGCAGAAGUGUUAUGUCAAACUUAAAUGAGUCCAAGUUCAUUCAUGGCACAUGUGAGCUUAGUGGUUCUGCACUUUAAUGGGCAAAUAUUUGUUGUCUUUUACAGUAAAGAAGCUCAAGACUCAAGUUGUCUUUAUAAUGUUGAAUAGACAGGGUUUUUUCAUCUGACUGACAAUUUUUCACUUGAUUAGAGAUCCAGACCAAUAAACAAAUCCUUCAUGCAGCUAAAAUAUCAAAAGGAUGAGUUUCUUUGUCAUUUUGACUUGCCAAAAUGACUGGGGAUAGUGUUAAUUUGUGAUGCAUGCCUGUGAUAAAUAAGUGAGGUUCAGUACAGCUAGCACCUCUACUUUCUAUUCCACAAAAAAAAAGUAUACUUUGGAGCAGGAAAUGAAAAGCUUCUUAGAAU